UACGGGGGGUGCAAGCGUUAAUCGGAAUCACUGGGCGUAAAGGGUGCGUAGGCGGUACGUUAGGUCUGUCGUGAAAUCCCCGGGCUCAACCUGGGAAUGGCGGUAGAAACCGGCGAACUAGAGUAUGGGAGAGGGUGGUGGAAUUCCAGGUGUAGCGGGUGAAAUGCGUAGAGAUCUGGAGGAACAUCAGUGGCGAAGGCGGCCACCUGGCCCAAUACCUGACGCUGAGGCACGAAAGCGUGGGGAGCAAACAGGAUUAGAUACCCGUGGUAGUCCACGCCCUAAACGAUGAAUACUGGAGGUUGGGUGCAACUUGGCACGCAGGUCUCGAAGCUAACGCGUUAAGUUCGCCGCCUGGGGAUACGGUCGCAAGACUGAAAC
rnacentral:rRNA from 1 species